UUGACUUCAGCCAUCACUUACUGAACUCGUCUUAUCUGUAGCAAAAACUCGUAUCAAGAUGACACUCGUACGUGUAUUUGUCUUUCCUGGCGACCUUGUUUGCCCUCUCCUGCGUCGCCCUCGCGAGGCCAGGCUUCAGCGGGGGUCAGAGGCCGUCCUUGUAUCCCACGGACGAAUCCGGGUCAAUCACCGCACGGAUCACGAACGUCCCAGCCACGAACGACAACCUUUGGCAGGGAUUUAGGCCAACCGGACGGAACUCCCAUGGAUACGGAGUGUUCAGAUCGUCAAGCUGGUGAUUGCAGAGUCGGAAAAAGACUGUACUUUUAUAUCCUUCCUAAUGAUCUGUGAUAUCGAGAAAUAAGGUCUACUAUAAGUCUCUGUGUGUAAGAUUAUGUUCCGCAUUUGUCUGAUUUAGUAAGAUAAGUUUUGAUAAUGAUGUUACCAAAUAUUGUGAUAAUUUCGUUUGUGUAACAAUGUAUGUUUAUUUGACAUAUUUUAAAGAAAGAGCGCAUGAUGAAUACAUUUUAUAAUGAACAGUUA